GAUUUCUCUACGCAGACCACUGAUAACGCCGGUAGUAAGGGUAUGGUCCAGACCAAAAGGAUUCCCAAUGGCAUACACCUUCUGACCGACAAGCAGGUCGGCUGAGACACCAACAGGCAAGGGUCUCAAUUUAUCUUUUGGGGCAUCAAUUCGCAAGACGGCAACAUCCUUGUCUUGAUCAAAUCCAACAACCCUUGCUUCAAAUGUUGACUGGUCAGAAAGGGUGACCCUGAGAUCGGAAGCUCCACGAAUAACAUGAUAGUUGGUGACAAUAUGUCCAUCCUUGUC
rnacentral:misc_RNA from 1 species